CUUAAUGCAUUUAAGCUUCUCAAGGGCGCCAUGAGCACGAAAGCUGCCAACGUUCACUACGUGAAACCUUCGGCCCGUCCUGUCCUUUUGGUCCAGAAGCAAAAAUCAGGGCAGGACAGCUCCUUGGGUGGAGGACGGGUCUCAAGAUGUGGACCUGAGCAGCCACGGAGGCGACGGCAUCAAAAGCCGGCCUUAAACCUACUGAGCCACAGGUGGCUUUCAGCAGGACCUUCGGCUAGAGGUUGAGAACCACUGCUCUAGAACGCAUCCUCCCAACGUAACAUGAUGUAUCCAUCCGGGUGUUGAUUUUUCUAACGGUCGCCUAAGACUUAGAGGGGCACGUGUGUCUCUUUCCUCCUGUGUCCCAGCACCUGCUGUGACACCUGGCACACGGUGGGCACUCGACCAGAAGUUGUUGAGCGAAUGCAGUCACCCCACCCUUUGUCACACCCGGGACACCAGGUGUGACACCCCUGCGGACGCAGAAGGGGGGCCUGGCCUGGUAUUGCGCAGGCAGGGUGUGGCCGCCCCCCACCCCUCAUCCCUGGAGAGCACCGUGGCCACCAGCACAUGAAACCAGCGACAGCAGCGGGGGACAACUCAGGGACAGACGUCAAACAGCCUUCAUCUUUUACUCCAAAUGUGCUAGAGGAGGGGCGACUCCUUUAGGAAGAGGUGAAGCUGCCACUGUAUGUCCCUGUUGGUGCCCCGCGCCUUCCCGUCUGUGUCCAAGGCACACGUGCACACACACCAUAACCGAUGGAAACUGGUAUUUUCCCCAACACCAUUUCGUGAAGGUGCCAGCCCUGCUCCAUUUGUUGGCUAAGAAGGUUCCCAGACGGCGUGACCCGGACCAAACAGUCGUGGGUUUGCUCCUCCACCGCCCAUUCAGCAGCUGCUUUUUGUUUGUUUGUUUGUUUUUGUUUUCUUUUUUAUGAUAGUCACAGAGAGAGAGAGAGAGAGGCAGAGACACAGGCAGAGGGAGAAGCAGGCUCCGUGCACCGGGAGCCCGACGUGGGAUUCGAUCCCGGGUCUCCAGGAUCGCGCCCUGGACCAAAGGCAGGCGCUAAACCGCUGAGCCACCCAGGGAUCCCUCAGCAGCUGUUUGUUAAGGAUGGAACCUUCCGAGGGCGACCAGCACCUGGCGCCGUGCUGCUAAGGGAGGGGAGUCGGAGACGAACCCCCUGUGGUCGCACCCGCGUGGGGAGUCUGAGAAAACAAGCACAGGGAAGAAGAGUAGGAGAAAGAGAUCGGGAAACAGACUCUUCACUAUAGAGAAGCAGCUGAC